UACGUAGGGUGCGAGCGUUGUCCGGAAUUACUGGGCGUAAAGAGCUCGUAGGUGGUUUGCUGCGUUGUCCGUGAAAACUCACAACUCAAUUGUGGGCGUGCGGGCGAUACGGGCAGACGUGGAGUACUGCAGGGGAGACUGGAAUUCCGGGUGUAGCGGUGGAAAUGCGUAGAGAUCCGGAAGAACACCGGUGGCGAAGGCGGUCUGCUGGACGAGUAGCUGACACUGAGCGCGACACGUGGGGAGCAACAGGAUAGAAACCCAGGUACAG
rnacentral:rRNA from 1 species